rnacentral:misc_RNA from 1 species
AGUAAAAUAGUACGUGAAAUUGUUGAAAGGGAAACGAUUGAAGUCAGUCGUACCGACGAGAAAUCAGCUCUUCGAGUGCGAACUUGUGGGCGUGCGUGAGUCUCUUUAACGGGCCUCGCUGUUUGCAAUUUUGUGCUUUUUGGGUGUACUUUUUCGUAUGGUAGGCCAACGUCAGUUUCGAUCACCGUAAAAUGAUCGGAGGAAUGUAGCUUCGAUCUCGUAUUGAAGUGUUAUAGCCUCUGGUAGAUGCGGUGACCGAAACUGAGGAUUGCAACGAAUACCCUUUUGGGCUAUCCGUCUGGCCUCUGAAAGUUGCUUAGGUGCCGAAAGCGUGCUUACGGCUAUUUAAGUUGACGGUCAACAGGUUAGAACGUGAUUACAUUCGUUAAGGACGUUGGCGUAAUGGCUUUAAA